rnacentral:sRNA from 1 species
GUGGGGGCCAUGGAGGACAAAUCUGCUGAGCACAAAAGAACUCAAUAUCUGAUAUUCAGCAAUGAGUAUACCCAGGCAGAAAACCAGAAUUGGCACCUGAAACACUUCUGCUGCUUUGACUGUGAUAGCAUUCUAGCUGGGGAGAUAUACGUGAUGGUCAAUGACAAGCCCGUGUGCAAGCCCUGCUAUGUGAAGAAUCACGCUGUGGUGAGAAGUGUUCUAAGGAUAUGGUUGCCUCAGCCUGCUUUAGGACUUGAGUUUAUGCUUUUCUUAAAGCCUCUUACAAAUGGGAAACAGAAAGCAGUCCUCCUAAGUAGAAAGCAAAUUAUUC